CCACUGCUGAGGAGUCCCAUACUAGGACGAAACGGCUGUACAGUGC
rnacentral:hammerhead_ribozyme from 1 species